rnacentral:rRNA from 1 species
GUGGGGAAUUUUGGACAAUGGGCGCAAGCCUGAUCCAGCAAUGCCGCGUGCAGGAAGAAGGCCUUCGGGUUGUAAACUGCUUUUGUACGGAACGAAACGGUCCGGGUUAAUACCCUGGGCUAAUGACGGUACCGUAAGAAUAAGCACCGGCUAACUACGUGCCAGCAGCCGCGGUAAUACGUAGGGUGCAAGCGUUAAUCGGAAUUACUGGGCGUAAAGCGUGCGCAGGCGGUUUUGUAAGACAGGCGUGAAAUCCCAGGGCUCAACCUGGGAAUUGCGCUUGUGACUGCAAGGCUGGAGUGCGGCAGAGGGGGAUGGAAUUCCGCGUGUAGCAGUGAAAUGCGUAGAUAUGCGGAGGAACACCGAUGGCGAAGGCAAUCCCCUGGGCCUGCACUGACGCUCAUGCACGAAAGCGUGGGGAGCAAACAGGAUUAGAUACCCCUGUAGUCC